rnacentral:rRNA from 1 species
AUUGAACGCUGGCGGCAUGCUCUACACAUGCAAGUCGAACGGCAGCACGGGCUUCGGCCUGGUGGCGAGUGGCGAACGGGUGAGUAAUACAUCGGAACGUACCCAGUAGUGGGGGAUAGCCCGGCGAAAGCCGGAUUAAUACCGCAUAUGCCCUGAGGGGGAAAGCGGGGGACCGAAAGGCCUCGCGCUAUUGGAGCGGCCGAUGGCUGAUUAGCUAGUUGGUGGGGUAAAGGCCUACCAAGGCGACGAUCAGUAGCUGGUCUGGGAGGACGACCAGGCACACUGGGACUGAGACACGGCCCAGACUCCUACGGGAGGCAGCAGUGGGGAAUUUUGGACAAUGGGCGAAAGCCUGAUCCAGCAAUGCCGCGUGUGCGAAGAAGGCCUUCGGGUUGUAAAGCACUUUUGUUUGGAAAGAAGAGGUUUGGGUUAAUACCCUGGACUGAUGACGGUGCCAAUCGAAUAAGCACCGGCUAACUACGUGCCAGCCGCCGCGGUAA